UACGUAGGGUGCGAGCGUUGUCCGGAAUUAUUGGGCGUAAAGAGCUCGUAGGCGGUGUGUCACGUCGGCCGUGAAAACCUGCAGCUUAACUGUGGGCGUGCGGUCGAUACGGGCAUCACUGGAGUUCGGCAGGGGAGACUGGAAUUCCUGGUGUAGCGGUGAAAUGCGCAGAUAUCAGGAGGAACACCGGUGGCAAAGGCGGGUCUCUGGGCCGAUACUGACGCUGAGGAGCGAAAGCGCGGGGAGCAAACAGG
rnacentral:rRNA from 1 species